rnacentral:lncRNA from 1 species
GCGGGCGCCGGGAGACGGGCGGCGAGCAGCGCGGCGGCGAGGAGACCACCGCGCACACGCACUCACACACACACACACACACACACACACACACACACACACACAUCCCGCCCUCCCUCUGUGCCUGCUCCUUCCUCGCCCCCCGCCGCCUCCCCUGCUCUCCCCCCUCCUCCUCCUCCUUUCUCUGCGACGAGCGAGAGAGGGAGAGGGGGGAAAAAAGCCACUCACAGGGACUGAUGUGCAACUAAUUAAAGGCAGGCAGGCUGGUAGCGUCUGCACACUCAAGCCCCCCCAAAUAAAGAGCCUGCUGCGGCAGCUCCCGUGAGGAUGCAGGAGGAGCGGCUGCCCGGCCAGGCACCGACGGCGGGAAUGCGCCCGGAGCAGGAGGAGGAGGAGGAUUAAGCGACACCCCCCCGACCCCCCUCGCC